UAGGUCUCAGUUCGGACUGUAGGCUGCAACUCGCCUACACGAAGUUGGAAUUGCUAGUAAUCGUGGAUCAGCAUGCCACGGUGAAUACGUUCCCGGGUCUUGUACACACCGCCCGUCACACCAUGGGAGCUGGUAACACCCGAAGUCGGUGGUCUAACCGCAAGGAGGACGCCGCCGAAGGUGGGAUUGAUGACUGGGGGUGAAGUCGUAACAAGGUACC
rnacentral:rRNA from 1 species